rnacentral:rRNA from 1 species
UUUUAGAAAUUAAUUUAAAGUCUAACCUGCCCACUGAAUAAUUUUAAAUGGCCGCAGUAUCCUAACUGUGCAAAGGUAGCAUAAUCAUUAGUCUUUUAAUUGAAGGCUGGAAUGAAUGGUUGGAUGAAAUAUUAACUGUUUCAAAUAAAUUUAUAAUAGAAUUUUAUUUUUUAGUCAAAAAGCUAAAAUAAAAUUAAAAGACGAGAAGACCCUAUAAAUCUUUAUAAUUUUUAAAUUUUAAUUAUUUAGAUAAAUUAAAUUAUAAUUAUAAAAAUUAUUUUAUUGGGGUGAUAUUAAAAUUUAAUAAACUUUUAAUUUAUAUUUUACAUAAAUUAAUGAAUUAUUGAUCCAUAAAUUAUGAUUAAAAAAUUAAGUUACUUUAGGGAUAACAGCGUAAUUUUUUUAGAGAGUUCAUAUUGAUAAAAA